UAAAAGAGCAGAAGGUGCUACGUGGGGUGAGCCUGACGGAAGCCAACAGUGUUUGCAAAACACCACGCAGCAGCGGGGACACCAAGAGGUGUAGACACUCAGGGAUGGGGGGCAGGGGAAGCAAAUCCAUUCGCUUUCCUUCGGGUGCAAGGGAACCUACAGGUGUUCUUGGUCAAGCAAAGUGAUGAAACAACUUUGUCUUGAUAUGAAAGAGGAAUGCAGACCAUCCUAACGGGUACGUUUUUAUCUUAGAGCACAGGUGCAUUUAGAAACUGGCCUGCGAGGAGAUCCCUGGGCUUGGGCAGACAGGCUGGGGCAGCAGAGGUCCCCCAGGGACCAAAGUCUCUGGCACGACCCAGGAAGGAGCUGAACAGGUGUCUUUGUUGGUGACUGGCAACACACGCAGUGGCCACGGGCCAGCCAGAGUGUGGCGUGGACCUCAGGCCAAAAGGGUCUCCAUGCCAGUGCAUUGGAGCAACGUGCGGAUUUUCCUGAAGGUCCUACAAGUCUUUGGUCAUGCAUCCCUGGUGCCCGAUGGCAAAGACCCAGCUGGGAAAGGGCCGAUGUUGCCAGUACCCGUUGUGAGUCAUUCUGCGCCUCUUAAAAGUGACUGCCCAGCAGAGCUUUACAGAAGAGGGAAAGACUCCCCGACCUUGUUUCCUCUGGAAGGAUGAAGACCACCAGUCUACAGAAGACGGUGCACAUCUUCAGACAGUUGACCUCAGAGACCACCUUCCAGGUCUACUGCAGCUCUACUGUGUCAAUAGCAUCUAAAAGUCUCAACCACCCAUAGCAAGAGUGUUUCCUGUGAUAGGGGUUUGAAGAAGCUCAGAUAAGUCAUGUUUUUUUUUUUUUUUUUUUUUUUAAACCUGGUCCGUUGAGAUAAGCAAUUCCGCAUUUUCUCUUUGUUGAGGUUAAUGUAGAGCAUGAAAUCAUCCAUAAUAUCUGGCUUGCUAAUAACAUGUAGCAUGGGGGCCGCUGGGGGCAAGGGAAGAUUUCAGAGGAGGGUGUAGGUCUUGGGAAUGCCGAGGCCACCUGACCACUCUGCCAUAGGAAUGCCAUGGGAAUUUGCCUACCCCGAAGCUUUCUUAGCCCAAACAGCUGCCCUGUGGUCUGAGAGAUGUAUGCAUUGUCCCCUAAGCUGUGUUUAGCAGGACUCAUAGAACACACAGGUCAGCGGGUUGGAUCGUCCCUGUAAUUGGACUCUUCUAUUUUCUGUAAGACUCCUUGCCACACAUCACUUGCUUGAGAAACAGUGAUAAAGAUGUUUGAUUAUCCUCAAGCAUCAAUAAA